rnacentral:misc_RNA from 1 species
GAUGAAGAACGCAGCGAAAUGCGAUACUUGGUGUGAAUUGCAGAAUCCCGUGAACCAUCGAGUCUUUGAACGCAAGUUGCGCCCGAAGCCAUUAGGCCGAGGGCACGCCUGCCUGGGCGUCACACGUCGUUGCCCCCCCAUCUACUCCUUCGGGAUUGCGGGGGGCGGAUGAUGGCCUCUCGUGCGCCUCGUCGCGCGGUUGGCCUAAAUGCCAAGUCCUCGGCGACGCACGCCACGACAAUCGGUGGUUGCGAAACCUCGGUUGCCUGUCGUGUGCGGUCGUCGCGCAUCGAGGGCCCGAAAAAAUUGCCGGGCUUCGGCUCGACUUUCAACGCGACCCCAGGUCAGGCGGGGUUACCCGCUGAAUUUAAGCAUAUCAAUAAGCGGAGGA